rnacentral:rRNA from 1 species
UACGUAGGGUGCAAGCGUUAAUCGGAAUUACUGGGCGUAAAGCGCGUGUAGGCGGCUUUGCAAGUCGGGUGUGAAAGCCCUCGGCUCAACCGAGGAAGUGCGCCCGAAACUGCAGAGCUUGAGUACCGGAGAGGAUGGCGGAAUUCCCCAAGUAGAGGUGAAAUUCGUAGAUAUGGGGAGGAACACCGGUGGCGAAGGCGGCCAUCUGGACGGAUACUGACGCUGAGACGCGAAAGCGUGGGGAGCAAACAGG